AGCGAACGCUGGCGGCAGGCCUAACACAUGCAAGUCGAACGAAGUCUUCGGACUUAGUGGCGGACGGGUGAGUAACACGUGGGAACGUACCUUUUGGUUCGGAACAACUCAGGGAAACUUGAGCUAAUACCGGAUGAGCCCUUAGGGGGAAAGAUUUAUCGCCGAAAGAGCGGCCCGCGUUAGAUUAGCUCGUUGGUGAGGUAAAGGCUCACCAAGGCUACGAUCUAUAGCCGGUCUGAGAGGAUGAUCAGCCACACUGGGACUGAGACACGGCCCAGACUCCUACGGGAGGCAGCAGUGGGGAAUCUUGCGCAAUGGGCGAAAGCUUGACGCAGCCAUGCCGCGUGAAUGAUGAAGGUCUUAGGAUUGUAAAAUUCUUUUACCAGGGACGAUAAUGACGGUACCUGGAGAAAAAGCCCCGGCUAACUUCGUGCCAGCCGCCGCCGUAACAC
rnacentral:rRNA from 1 species